rnacentral:rRNA from 1 species
GACGUAGGGAGCGAGCGUUGUCCGGAUUCAUUGGGCGUAAAGCGCGCGUAGGCGGCCUCGCAAGUCGGUUGUGAAAUCCCGGGGCUCAACCCCGGGACUGCGUCCGAUACUGCGAGGCUGGAGGUAGGUAGGGGAGAUCGGAAUUCCUGGUGUAGCGGUGAAAUGCGCAGAUAUCAGGAGGAACACCGGUGGCGAAGGCGGAUCUCUGGGCCUUACCUGACGCUGAGGCGCGAAAGCUAGGGGAGCAAACAGG